rnacentral:misc_RNA from 1 species
UUAUUAUUAUUAUUAUUAGUUAAAUGCGUGUACGCAUAAUAUUGCAGAUUUUUAUUUAAAAACUUAUUUAUAUUUCGAAUUUAAUAAGUAUUUGUUAAAAUACCACUUAAAAGUAAAAUAAAAAUUGCUAAGGAAAAUAUUGACAAUUGACUGUUAUAAAUAUAUUUAUUUUAAGAAAAAUUAUUAAAUAAAAUUUUCCCUAAAUAACUGUAGCCCUUAUUUUCCUUAUUUUUCAAAACAGUAAUUAAAAUAGAAUGCAAUUAUUUGUCUUAUUGUGAAAUUGCAAUUAAGGUUCCUAAUGAAAGGAGAAAAAGGUUGAGCAGAUUGCGCUGUUAAGCUUUUGAAACGCUUAGUAAAGAUGGAAAAUAGAAGAAAACAAAACAAUAUUCAAAACGGAGACGGAGACGGAGACGGAG